GACGAACGCUGGCGGCGUGCCUAACACAUGCAAGUCGAACGAUGAAGAAAAGACUUGAAGCUUCGGCAGAAAUUCAUUUCGGAUUAGUGGCAGACGGGUGAGUAACGCGUGAGCAACCUACCUCUUACAAAGGGAUAGCCUCGGGAAACCGGGAUUAAUACCAUAUAACAUUGCGACGAAGCAUUUCGAUGCAAUCAAAGCUACGGCGGUAAGAGAUGGGCUCGCGUCCCAUUAACCAGAUGGUGAGGUAACGGCUCACCAUAGUAACGAUGGGUAACCGGCCUGAGAGGGUGAACGGUCACACUGGAACUGAGACACGGUCCAGACUCCUACGGGAGGCAGCAGUGGGGAAUAUUGCACAAUGGAGGGAACUCUGAUGCAGCGACGCCGCGUGAGUGAUGAAGGAAUUCGUUUCGUAAAACUCUGUUCUAUGGGAAGAAAAGGACUGUACCAUAGGAGAAAGCUCCGGCUAAAUACGUG
rnacentral:rRNA from 1 species